GACGAACGCUGGCGGCGUGCCUAAUACAUGCAAGUAGAACGCUGAAGGAGGAGCUUGCUCUUCUGGAUGAGUUGCGAACGGGUGAGUAACGCGUAGGUAACCUGCCUGGUAGCGGGGGAUAACUAUUGGAAACGAUAGCUAAUACCGCAUAACAGUAGAUGUUGCAUGACAUUUACUUAAAAGGUGCAAUUGCAUCACUACCAGAUGGACCUGCGUUGUAUUAGCUAGUUGGUGGGGUAACGGCUCACCAAGGCGACGAUACAUAGCCGACCUGAGAGGGUGAUCGGCCACACUGGGACUGAGACACGGCCCAGACUCCUACGGGAGGCAGCAGUAGGGAAUCUUCGGCAAUGGACGGAAGUCUGACCGAGCAACGCCGCGUGAGUGAAGAAGGUUUUCGGAUCGUAAAGCUCUGUUGUAAGAGAAGAACGAGUGUGAGAGUGGAAAGUUCACACUGUGACGGUAUCUUACCAGAAAGGGACGGCUAACUACGCG
rnacentral:rRNA from 1 species